AAGAAAAUCGCCUCUGGAACAGGCCUUUAGGCCUUCUUUCCCUUGCUGCACCCUACCAACAAUGUCUGUCUGCCUCACAGCUGCUUGUGCUUCUUCUACUGCCUGCUUUGAGUUCCACUUCCUCCC